UUCGCACAAUUGGUCAUCGCG
rnacentral:snRNA from 1 species